CGGACCGGCGCACGGGUGAGUAACGCGUAUGCAACUUACCUAUCAGGAGGGGGAUAACCCGGCGAAAGUCGGACUAAUACCGCAUGAAGCAGGGGCCCCGCAUGGGGAUAUUUGCUAAAGAUUCAUCGCUGAUAGAUAGGCAUGCGUUCCAUUAGGCAGUUGGCGGGGUAACGGCCCACCAAACCGACGAUGGAUAGGGGUUCUGAGAGGAAGGUCCCCCACAUUGGUACUGAGACACGGACCAAACUCCUACGGGAGGCAGCAG
rnacentral:rRNA from 1 species